rnacentral:rRNA from 1 species
GACGAACGCUGGCGGCGUGCUUAACACAUGCAAGUCGAACGGGCCUGCCUGGCUUUGGUUGGGUGGGUGAGUGGCGAACGGGUGAGUAACACGUGAGUAACCUGCCCUCUUCUCUUGGAUAACUGCUUGAAAGGGCAGCUAAUACGGGAUGUUCUGGCUGCCUCGCAUGGGGUGGUUUGGAAAGAUUCGGCCUGGUUUUGGUUGUUUUGGUGGGGGAUGGGCUCGCGGCUUAUCAGCUUGUUGGUGGGGUGAUGGCCUACCAAGGCGGUGACGGGUAGCCGGCCUGAGAGGGUGGACGGUCACACUGGGACUGAGACACGGCCCAGACUCCUCGGGAGGCAGCAGUGGGGGAUUUUGCACAAUGGGCGCAAGCCUGAUGCAGCGACGCCGCGUGAGGGAUGGAGGCCUUCGGGUUGUGAACCUCUGUCGCCGGUGAUGUAG